rnacentral:rRNA from 1 species
AGAGUUUGAUCCUGGCUCAGGACGAACGCUGGCGGCGUGCCUAACACAUGCAAGUCGAGCGGAGACAGUGGGUAGCUUGCUACGAACUGUUUUAGCGGCGGACGGGUGAGUAACGCGUGAGCAACCUUUCCCAGACAGGGGAAUAACACACCGAAAGGUGUACUAAUACCGCAUAAGACCACGGUUUCACAUGGAACUGAGGUAAAAGAUUUAUCGGUUUGGGGUGGGCUCGCGUCCGAUUAGGUAGUUGGUGAGGUAACGGCCCACCAAGCCGACGAUCGGUAGCCGACCUGAGAGGGUGAUCGGCCACAUUGGGACUGAGACACGGCCCAAACUCCUACGGGAGGCAGCAGUGGGGAAUAUUGGGCAAUGGAGGAAACUCUGACCCAGCAACGCCGCGUGGAGGAAGAAGGUUUUCGGAUCGUAAACUCCUGUCCUUGGAGACGAGUAGAAGACGGUAUCCAAGGAGGAAGCCCCGGCUAACUACGUGCCAGCAGCCGCGGUAAUACGUAGGGGGCAAGCGUUGUCCGGAAUAAUUGGGCGUAAAGGGCGCGUAGGCGGCUCGGUAAGUCUGGAGUGAAAGUCCUGCUUUUAAGGUGGGAAUUGCUUUGGAUACUGUCGGGCUUGAGUGCAGGAGAGGUUAGUGGAAUUCCCAGUGUAGCGGUGAAAUGCGUAGAGAUUGGGAGGAACACCAGUGGCGAAGGCGACUAACUGGACUGUAACUGACGCUGAGGCGCGAAAGUGUGGGUAGCAAACAGAAUUAGAUACCCUGGUAGUCCACACCGUAAACGAUGAUUAAAAGGUGUUGGAGGAUUGACCCCUUCAGUGCCGCAGUUAACACAAUAAGUAAUCCACCUGGGGAGUACGACCGCAAGGUUGAAACUCAAAGGAAUUGACGGGGGCCCGCACAAGCAGUGGGAGUAUGUGGUUUAAUUCGACGCAACGCGAAGAACCUUACCAAGUCUUGACAUCCCUUGACAGACAUAGAAAUAUGUAUUCUCUUCGGAGCAAGGAGACAGGUGGUGCAUGGUUGUCGUCAGCUCGUGUCGUGAGAUGUUGGGUUAAGUCCCGCAACGAGCGCAACCCUUAUGGUCAGUUACUACGCAAGAGGACUCUGGCCAGACUGCCGUUGACAAAACGGAGGAAGGUGGGGAUGACGUCAAAUCAUCAUGCCCUUUAUGACUUGGGCUACACACGUACUACAAUGGCGUUAAACAAAGAGAAGCAAGACCGCGAGGUGGAGCAAAACUCAGAGACAACGUCCCAGUUCGGACUGCAGGCUGCAACUCGCCUGCACGAAGUCGGAAUUGCUAGUAAUCGUGGAUCAGCAUGCCACGGUGAAUACGUUCCCGGGCCUUGCACUCACCGCCCGUCA